GACGAACGCUGGCGGCGUGCCUAAUACAUGCAAGUCGAACGCAGUGGGGACGGGUGAGUAACACGUGGGUAACCUCCCAUCAGAGGGGAUAACACUUGGAAACAGGUGCUAAACCGAUCCUGAUGGAUGGACCCGCGGUGCAGUAGCUAGUUGGUGAGGUAACGUCUUACCAAGGCCACGAUGCAUAGCCGACCGUAGAGGGUGAUCGGCAAUACUGGGAAGGAGACACGGCCCAGACGCCUACGGGAGGCAGCAGUAGGGAAUCUUCGGCAAUGGACGAAAGUCUGACCUAGCAACGCCGCGUGAGUGAAGAAGGUUUUCGGAGCGUAAAACUCUGUUGUUAGAGAAGCGGUAUCUAACCAGAAAGCCACGGCUAACUACGUGCAAGCAGCCGCGGAAAUAC
rnacentral:rRNA from 1 species